rnacentral:hammerhead_ribozyme from 1 species
AUCUAGCUGACGAGUCCCAUAUAGGAUGAAAUGGGUCCUGGAU